AUUGAACGCUGGCGGAAUGCUUUACACAUGCAAGUCGAACGGCAGCACGGGGGCCACCCUGGUGGCGAGUGGCGAACGGGUGCGUAAUACAUCGGAACGUGCCCAGCUGGGGGGGAUAACGUAGCGAAAGUUACGCUACUACCGCAUACGAUCUACGGAUGAAAGCGCGCGACCGUAAGGCCUCGCGUGAUUGGAGAGGCAGAUGUCAGAUAAGGUAGUUGGUGAGGUAAAGGCGCACCAAGCCGACGAUCUGUACCUGGUCUGAGAGGACGACCAGCCACACUGAGCUGAGACACGGCGCAGACUGCUACGGGAGGCAGCAGUGGGGAAUUUUUGACAAUGGGCGCAAGCCUGAUCCAGCCAUUCCGCGUGCAGGACGAAGGCCUUCGGGUUGUAAACUGCUUUUGGACGGAACGAAAAGGCUCUGGUUAAUACCCGGGGCUCAUGGCGGUACCGUAAGAAUAAGCACCGGCUAACUACGUGCCAGCAGCCGCAGUAA
rnacentral:rRNA from 1 species